AAUAAGUGCAGCUGUAGAUAUUCAUGCCCAACGUUUGACCGUCCGUCUUAUUUAAAAAUUUGUGAAAAAAUUAAAAAUAUUUAGUCACACAUAAAAUACUAUUCAUGUUUUAUCAUCUAGUAGCAAUAAAAAUACUAAUCAUAAAAUUUUUUUAAAUAAGACGAACGAUCAAAUAUUGAACAUGAAUAGUGUAAAACUACACUUAUU
rnacentral:pre_miRNA from 1 species